rnacentral:misc_RNA from 1 species
CGCAUAUUGCGCCCUCCGGCACUCCGGGGGGCAUGCCUGUCCGAGCGUCGUUUCCCCUGCCCAGCGUGGGCUGGCUGCGAGCUUCGUGCUCGAUGAUGGGCCCCAUCGCUCUCGGGCGAUGGACUCUAAAGUGAGGGCAUGGGCGUCGAACCCUCAACCGCAGUAGAACAUUCCGGUUUGGAAGGGACGGCGCUGGUGCCGGGUCUCUUCGAGACGGCGUGCUGCAGCGAUGCCACGCCGGCGGGGUGCCCGUCAGCACUCCAGAGUUCGACCUCGGAUCAGGUAGGGAUACCCGCUGAACUUAA